UAUUUUCCUUUUUUUCCCUCCGCCGCGGUAAUACGGAAGGUCCAGGCGUUAUCCGGAUUUAUUGGGUUUAAAGGGAGCGUAGGCCGUUUGGUAAGCGUGUUGUGAAAUGUCGGGGCUCAACCUGGGCAUUGCAGCGCGAACUGCCAGACUUGAGUGCGCAGGAAGUAGGCGGAAUUCGUCGUGUAGCGGUGAAAUGCUUAGAUAUGACGAAGAACUCCGAUUGCGAAGGCAGCCUGCUGUAGCGCAACUGACGCUGAAGCUCGAAAGCGUGGGUAUCGAACAGG
rnacentral:rRNA from 1 species